UUUUCACCAGAAGGUACUAGGCGCUGUUGGUGCCUUCGAGGAAGUGUGAGACAGGUGCUGCAUGGCUGUCGUCAGCUCGUGUUGUGAAAUGUUGGGUUAAGUCCCGCAACGAGCGCAACCCUUAUCCUUUGUUGCCAGCGGUCCGGCCGGGAACUCAAAGGAGACUGCCAGUGAUAAACUGGAGGAAGGUGGGGAUGACGUCAAGUCAUCAUGGCCCUUACGACCAGGGCUACACACGUGCUACAAUGGCGCAUACAAAGAGAAGCGACCUCGCGAGAGCAAGCGGACCUCAUAAAGUGCGUCGUAGUCCGGAUUGGAGUCUGCAACUCGACUCCAUGAAGUCGGAAUCGCUAGUAAUCGUGGAUCAGAAUGCCACGGUGAAUACGUUCCCGGGUCUUGUACACACCG
rnacentral:rRNA from 1 species